AUUGAACGCUGGCGGCAGGCCUAACACAUGCAAGUCGAGCGGAUGAGUGGAGCUUGCUCCAUGAUUCAGCGGCGGACGGGUGAGUAAUGCCUAGGAAUCUGCCUGGUAGUGGGGGACAACGUUUCGAAAGGAACGCUAAUACCGCAUACGUCCUACGGGAGAAAGCAGGGGACCUUCGGGCCUUGCGCUAUCAGAUGAGCCUAGGUCGGAUUAGCUAGUAGGUGAGGUAAUGGCUCACCUAGGCGACGAUCCGUAACUGGUCUGAGAGGAUGAUCAGUCACACUGGAACUGAGACACGGUCCAGACUCCUACGGGAGGCAGCAGUGGGGAAUAUUGGACAAUGGGCGAAAGCCUGAUCCAGCCAUGCCGCGUGUGAGAAGAAGGUCUUCGGAUUGUAAAGCACUUUAAGUUGGGAGGAAGGGCAGUAAGUUAAUACCUUGUUGUUUUGACGUUACCAACAGAAUAAGCACCGGCUAACUUCGUGCCAGCAGCCGCGGUAA
rnacentral:rRNA from 1 species